rnacentral:rRNA from 1 species
ACGGAAGGCAGCAGUGGGGAAUAUUGGGCAAUGGGCGUAAGCCUGACCCAGCAACGCCGCGUGAAGGAAGAAGGCUUUCGGGUUGUAAACUUCUUCAGCAGGGAAGACAGAAGACGGUACCUGCAGAAGAAGUCACGGCUAACUACGUGCCAGCAGCCGCGGUAAUACGUAGGUGGCGAGCGUUAUCCGGAAUUACUGGGUGUAAAGGGUGUGUAGGCGGAGAGGCAAGUCAGGCGUGAAAUGCCAGGGCUCAACCCUGGAAUUGCGCUUGAAACUGUUUCCCUUGAGAGUGGGAGAGGUAAACGGAAUUCCUGGUGUAGUAGUGAAAUGCGUAGAUAUCAGGAGGAACACCGGUGGCGAAGGCGGUUUACUGGACCACAACUGACGCUGAGACACGAAAGCGUGGGGAGCAAACAGGAUUAGAUACCCUGGUA